rnacentral:rRNA from 1 species
AGCGAACGUUAGCGGCGGGCCUAACACAUGCAAGUCGAACGAGAAUGAAGGGGCAACUCUUCUAGUAAAGUGGCGGACGGGUGCGUAACACGUGGGUAAUCAACCUUCUGGCGGGGGACAACAGUCCGAAAGGACUGCUAAUACCGCGUAAGUCGGCGAGGACUCUGGUUCUUGCCGGGAAAGCUGGCCUCUCCAUGGAAGCUAGCACCAGAAGACGAGCCCCGCGGCCCAUCAGCUAGNGGUGAGGUAUGGCUCACCAAGGCUUAGACGGGUAGCUGGUCUGAGAGGAUGAUCAGCCACACUGGGACUGCGACACGGCCCAGACUCCUACGGGAGGCAGCAGUGGGGAAUAUUGGGCAAUGGGCGAAAGCCUGACCCAGCCACGCGCGUGAGUGAUGAAGGCCUGGUCGUAAGCUCUGUGGG